rnacentral:rRNA from 1 species
GACAGAGGGUGCAAACGUUGUUCGGAAUUACGUGGGCGUAAAGGGUUCGUAGGCGGUGUGGCAAGUUCGGAAGUGAAAUCUCCAGGGCUCAACCUUGGAGGCUGCUCCCGAAACUGCCGACGCUAGGAGUGCGAGAGAGGCCAGUGGAAUUGCAGGUGUAGCGGUGAAAUGCGUAGAUAUCUGCAGGAACACCCGUGGCGAAGGCGGCUGGCUGGAUCGCAACUGACGCUGGAGGAACGAAAGCUAGGGUAGCAAACGGG